AAGAAAAUAAAUAUAUUACGCUGAACUUUAGUCGAGUAUGUAAAUUAGAUUUUUUCAUAAUUAUACAAAAUUUUUUAAAAUAAAUCCAGCCAAGAUUUAAGAACCGUUAGAUCUUUACGACGGUCGAAGACAAUUUUCAUGGACCACACAAGCUGCCCAGUAUCCUUGGACAGAACGAAUGUAUAUAUGGUACUGAGAUGACUGCCAGGAUUUAACUCCAGCAUCCAGCACUGAAUCGCUCGUUUAGGAUGAAAAGGAUUGGUCCGUUGGAACGACUACGUGGGUGAUAAAAAAAAAUUGCCCAAAUUGGUCCAGAGGAUUUCACAAAUUUAAAACAUGACGAAACACAGAUCCCGAAGAUAUGCCAACCGUACAUAUCUCAAUUUCAAAGAGAUCGACUAUACAGAUGAAUUAUCAAGAUGAAACUAGGAGUCAAGAAAUACGAUCCGAUCAUUUGCAUAAUCCCGCUGGACCUCCCAAAUGGAGUCGGACUACCGUAUAGAAAAAAAGGUCCCACGUUACGUCAUCAAAAAAAAAAAAAAUGCAAGAGCC